rnacentral:lncRNA from 1 species
CUUAGAUAAUGCUGCAGUUGGUGGAAAUGAUGAACAUUUAAAAUGUUAACACCCUGUGAAUGCAUUGGAUUUAAGAGAAUAAACUUUUUGUAAAAAUCACUUGUAAAGAUUAUAAACUUAAUUACUGCACUUAAAAUGAAACAUUGCUUUUUUUUUUUGUAGUGUGUCACAGAUGUAGGCUCAGAUUACUUGUAUGCUUGUGUGAUUUAUUGUUAGACCACCCAGUUCUAAACAUCUAAAAAGAUUGUUUUGUUUUGUUUGUGGUGCUGGGGAUCAAACAAAGCCAGGGCUUCCCUCACCACAUGCUAUCCGAGGGCUCUACAGUGAACUAUAUACCCCUGGCCCUAAAGAUUCUAACUGAAACACAAGAAGGAAGUUUUCUUUUUGAAGAAAACAAAUAUAUUCUUUCUUUUUCUCUAGACAUUAUUGAAGUUUAAAGACGUGACCAGUUUUUAAUUUGUUUGAAGUUAUAAUAUUUUUAAUAUAACUUGCCUCAUUACGUGUAAUAGUUCCCAUUUGAUGGGAUAUAUAGGGAAGAAUGUGUGCGUGUGUAUGCGUAUAAAAUAUAUAUAUUCACAGUCUGUAUUGUUUAUUUUAUUAUAGCAGAUUUAGGGUUUGUAUCUAAAUGAUGAUGCCUGUGAGUUAUGUGAAACUGUUGACGACUUUUUUCCCAGCAUUACUCUGAUGAGGCUCAACAUUUCCUUGGGCUCUUGAAGGCUAAAAUUAGGUAGAAAUGAUAUUGAAUGUAUGGUACAAUGAUCUGCCGUAGUUGUUACUGCAUGAAGAGAAAAACUCACACAAUCUUAUCACCUCGCACUUCAUAGAGAAGGUUUGUUCCCAUUGUCACCCCCCCCCCAACCCGCCGCCACCACCAAUGAUACGACACAUGCUCAUGCAUAAAAUGUUACAAUGAGUACAUCCUUGUAUUUGUAUGUUUUCAACAUUGCCAAGGUGCUAUGGG